UUCUUGCACACGCAAGGCGUGUUGUUUUUCUUACACACGCAAGGCGUGUUGUUUUUCUUACACACAAGGUGUGAGAGGGUUGGACCCCACGUUGGGACUGGGAAUGCUUGUCUCAGUUCUUUCCCCUUGAUUCCAUCGUUAUGGCUUGUUCUGUCUGAGUGUUGUCGAUGGAGAAAACAAAUCUGUCGUCUAAAGUAAGAAAAUCAUACAUUGUCUGUCUGUCUCUGUCGUCUAAAGUAAGAAAAUAAUACAUUGUCUGUCUGUCUCUGUCGUCUAAAGUAAGAAAAUCAUACAUUGUCUGUCUGUCUGUGUCGUCUAAAGUAAGAAAAUCAUACAUUGUUCUGGCUUGCUCUACUCUAAGUUGUUGUCGAUGGAGACAACUAUUUUCUUUUCUCUCUCUAUUGAUAUGUAGUUUGAUGAGAAGGGCCAGGUGUGUUACUCAUGUAACAAGGCCAGGUGUGUUACCCAUGUAACAAGGCCAGGUGUGUUACUCAUGUAACAAGGCCAGGUGUGUUACCCAUGUAACAAGGCCAGGUGUGUUACCCAUUUAACAAGGCCAGGUGUGUAUGUGUGUUACCCAUGUAACAAGGCUAGGUGUGUAUGUGUGUUACCCAUGUAACAAGGCCAGGUGUGUAUGUGUGUUACCCAUGUAACAAGGCCGGGUGUGUAUGUGUGUUACCCAUGUAACAAGGCCAGGUGUGUUACCCAUGUAACAAGGCCAGGUGUGUUACCCAUGUAACAAGGCCAGGUGUGUUACCCAUGUAACAAGGCUAGGUGUGUUACCCAUGUAACAAGACCAGGUGUGUAUGUGUGUUACCCAUGUAACAAGGCCAGGUGUGUAUGUGUGUUACCCAUGUAACAAGGCUAGGUGUGUAUAUGUGUUACCCAUGUAACAAGGCCAGGUGUGUUACUCAUGUAACAAGGCUAGGUGUGUUACCCAUGUAACAAGGCCAGGUGUGUAUGUGUGUUACCCAUGUAACAAGGCCGGGUGUGUAUGUGUGUUACCCAUGUAACAAGGCCAGGUGUGUUACCCAUGUAACAAGGCCAGGUGUGUUACCCAUGUAACAAGGCCAGGUGUGUAUGUGUGUUACCCAUGUAACAAGGCCAGGUGUGUAUGUGUGUUACCCAUGUAACAAGGCUAGGUGUGUAUAUGUGUUACCCAUGUAACAAGGCCAGGUGUGUUACUCAUGUAACAAGGCUAGGUGUGUUACCCAUGUAACAAGGCCAGGUGUGUAUGUGUGUUACCCAUGUAACAAGGCCAGGUGUGUUACCCAUGUAACAAGGCCAGGUGUGUAUGUGUGUUACCCAUGUAACAAGGCCAGGUGUGUAUGUGUGUUACCCAUGUAACAAGGCUAGGUGUGUUACCCAUGUACAAGGCCAGGUGUGUUACCCAUGUAACAAGGCUAGGUGUGUUACCCAUGUAACAAGGCCAGGUGUGUAUGUGUGUUACCCAUGUAACAAGGCCAGGUGUGUUACCCAUGUAACAAGGCCAGGUGUGUAUGUGUGUUACCCAUGUAACAAGGCCAGGUGUGUUACCCAUGUAACAAGGCCAGGUGUGUAUGUGUGUUACCCAUGUAACAAGGCCAGGUGUGUAUGUGUGUUACCCAUGUAACAAGGCUAGGUGUGUUACCCAUGUACAAGGCCAGGUGUGUUACCCAUGUAACAAGGCUAGGUGUGUUACCCAUGUAACAAGGCCAGGUGUGUUACCCAUGUAACAAGGCCAGGUGUGUAUGUGUG